GAAUUUUCAGUUUAUUUAUUUAUUUAUUUUCUGAAUUUCAAGUUUAUUUAUUUUUGAAUUUUCAGUUUAUUUAUUUAUUUAUUUAUUUUCGAAUUUUCAGUUUAUUUAUUUUAUUUAUUUAUUUUUUCUGAAUUUUCAGUUAAUUUAUUUCCAGUUUAUUUAUUUAUUUCCAUUUUAUUUAUUUAUUUUCUGAAUUUCAAGUUUAGUUAUUUAUUUAUUUUUGAAUUUUCAGUUUAUUUAUUUUCCAGUUUAUUUAUUUAUUUAUUUAUUUCCAGUUUAUUUAUUUAUUU
rnacentral:lncRNA from 1 species